AACGAACGCUGGCGGCGUGCCUAACACAUGCAAGUCGAACGUGAUUGGAAGCUUGCUUCCAUGAAAGUGGCGCACGGGUGAGUAACGCGUAGAUAAUCUACCUGAUGAUCUGGGAUAACACUUCGAAAGGGGUGCUAAUACCGGAUAAGCCCACAGAGUCCUUGGACUCAGCGGGAAAAGGGGGGGACCUUUUAGGCCUUCCGUCAUCAGAUGAGUCUGCGUACCAUUAGCUAGUUGGUAGGGUAAAGGCCUACCAAGGCGACGAUGGUUAGCUGGUCUGAGAGGAUGAUCAGCCACACUGGAACUGAGACACGGUCCAGACUCCUACGGGAGGCAGCAGUGGGGAAUUUUGGACAAUGGGGGCAACCCUGAUCCAGCCAUGCCGCGUGAGUGAAGAAGGCCUUCGGGUUGUAAAGCUCUUUCGGCGGGGACGAAAUGGUUCGUGACAACACCACGGACUGAUGACGGUACUCGCAUAAGAAGCACCGGCUAACUACGUGCCAGCCGCCGCCGUAACAC
rnacentral:rRNA from 1 species